rnacentral:rRNA from 1 species
UAGUCAUAUGCUUGUCUCAAAGAUUAAGCCAUGCAUGUCUAAGUAUAAACUGCUUUAUACUGUGAAACUGCGAAUGGCUCAUUAAAUCAGUUAUAGUUUAUUUGAUGGUACUUACUUACUCGGAUACCCGUAGUAAUUCUAGAGCUAAUACGUGCGUACAUCCCGACUUCUGGAAGGGACGUAUUUAUUAGAUAAAAGGCCGACCGGGCUUGCCCGACUCGCGGUGACUCAUGAUAACUUCACGAAUCGCAUGGCCUUGCGCCGGCGAUGUUUCAUUCAAAUUUCUGCCCUAUCAACUUUUGAUGGUAGGAUAGAGGCCUACCAUGGUGGUAACGGGUGACGGAGAAUUAGGGUUCGAUUCCGGAGAGGGAGCCUGAGAAACGGCUACCACAUCCAAGGAAGGCAGCAGGCGCGCAAAUUACCCAAUCCUGAUACAGGGAGGUAGUGACAAUAAAUAACAAUACCGGGCCUUUGGUCUGGUAAUUGGAAUGAGUACAACCUAAACACCUUA